rnacentral:tRNA from 1 species
GCCAACGUGGUGCAGAGGUUAGCAUGUUCGACUAUGACACCAAAUGCCUUGGUUCAAAUCCCGGCAUGGGCA